rnacentral:rRNA from 1 species
UACGUAGGGUCCGAGCGUUAAUCGGAAUUACUGGGCGUAAAGCGUGCGCAGGCGGUUUUGUAAGCCAGAUCGUGAAAUCCCCGGGCUUAACCUGGGAAUGGCAUUUGGGACUGCAAAGCUGGAGUACGGCAGAGGGAGGUGGAAUUCCACGUGUAGCAGUGAAAUGCGUAGAGAUGUGGAGGAACACCGAUGGCGAAGGCAGCCCUCCUGGGCUAGUACUGACGCUCAUGCACGAAAGCGUGGGGAGCAAACAGG